AGCAUAUCAAUAAGCGGAGGAAAAGAAACCAACAGGGAUUGCCUCAGUAACGGCGAGUGAAGCGGCAAAAGCUCAAAUUUGAAAUCUAGCACUUUCAGUGUUCGAGUUGUAAUUUGAAGAAGGUAACUUUGGUUUUGGCUCUUGUCUAUGUUCCUUGGAACAGGACGUCACAGAGGGUGAGAAUCCCGUGCGAUGAGAUGCCCAAUUCCAUGUAAAGUGCUUUCGAAGAGUCGAGUUGUUUGGGAAUGCAGCUCUAAGUGGGUGGUAAAUUCCAUCUAAAGCUAAAUAUUGGCGAGAGACCGAUAGCGAACAAGUACAGUGAUGGAAAGAUGAAAAGAACUUUGAAAAGAGAGUGAAAAAGUACGUGAAAUUGUUGAAAGGGAAGGGCUUGAGAUCAGACUUGGUAUUUUGCGUUCCCUUCCUUUUUGGUUGGGUUCCUCGCAGUUUACUGGGCCAGCAUCGGUUUGGAUGGUAGGAUAAUGACAUUGGAAUGUAGCUUUACUUCGGUGAAGUGUUAUAGACUUUGUUGAUACUGCCUAUCUAGACCGAGGACUGCGUCUUUGACUAGGAUGCUGGCGUAAUGAUCUUAAGCCGCCCGUCUUGAAACACGGACCAAGGAGUCUAACGUCUAUGCAAGUGUUUGGGUGUAAAACCCGUACGCGUAAUGAAAGUGAACGUAGGUGAGAGCCUUUUAGGUGCAUCAUCGACCGAUCCUGAUGUCUUCGGAUGGAUUUGAGUAAGAGCAUAGCUGUUGGGACCCGAAAGAUGGUGAACUAUGCCUGAAUAGGGUGAAGCCAGAGGAAACUCUGGUGGAGGCUCGUAGCGGUUCUGACGUGCAAAUCGAUCGUCGAAUUUGGGUAUAGGGGCGAAAGACUAAUCGAACCAUCUAGUAGCUGGUUCCUGC
rnacentral:rRNA from 1 species